rnacentral:rRNA from 1 species
CGAGGCAGAGAUGCGUAGCUGAUGGGAAGCAGGUUAAUAUUCCUGCACCGUCGUAUGAUGCGAUGGGGGGACGGAUCGCGGAAGGUUGUCUGACUGUUGGAAUAGUCAGUUUCUGCUUCAUAGAAGGCACUUAGGCAAAUCCGGGUGCGUAAUUCAAGGGAGUGGGACGAGUGCACUUGUGCACGUAGCAAUCGGAAGUGGUUCCAAGAAAAGCCUCUAAGCUUCAGUCAUACGAGACCGUACCGCAAACCGACACAGGUGGGCGAGAUGAGUA